GACGAACGCUGUCUGCGUGCUUAACACAUGCAAGUCGAACGGAAAGGCCCUGCUUGCAGGGUACUCGAGUGGCGAACGGGUGAGUAACACGUGGGUGAUCUGCCCUGCACUUCGGGAUAAGCCUGGGAAACUGGGUUUAAUACCGGAUAGGAGCCAUUUUUAGUGUGAUGGUUGGAAAGUUUUUUCGGUGUAGGAUGAGCUCGCGGCCUAUCAGCUUGUUGGUGGGGUAAUGGCCUACCAAGGCGGCGACGGGUAGCCGGCCUGAGAGGGUGGACGGCCACAUUGGGACUGAGAUACGGCCCAGACUCCUACGGGAGGCAGCAGUGGGGAAUAUUGCACAAUGGGCGCAAGCCUGAUGCAGCGACGCCGCGUGGGGGAUGACGGCCUUCGGGUUGUAAACUCCUUUCGCUAGGGACGAAGCUUUUUGUGACGGUACCUAGAUAAGAAGCACCGGCUAACUACGUGCCAGCAGCCGCGGUAAUACGUAGGGUGCGAGCGUUGUCCGGAAUUACUGGCCGUAAAGGGCUCGUAGGCGGUUUGUCGCGUCGCUCUGGGAAUUCCGGGGCUUAACUCCUGCCGUGCAGGCGAUACGGGCAUAACUUGAGUACUGUAGGGGUAACUGGAAUUCCUGGUGUAGCGGUGAAAUGCGCAGAUAUCAGGAGGAACACCGAUGGCGAAGGCAGGUUACUGGGCAGUUACUGACGCUGAGGAGCGAAAGCAUGGGUAGCGAACAGGAUUAGAUACCCUGGCAGUCCAUGCCGUAAACGGUGGGCGCUAGGUGUGAGGGUCUUUUCACGACUUUCGUGCCGUAGCUAACGCAUUAAGCGCCCCGCCUGGGGAAUACGGCCGCAAGGCUAAAACUCCAAGGAAUUGACGGGGGCCCCCACAAACGGCGGAGCAUGUGGAUUACUUCGAUGCCACGCGAAGAACCUUACCUGGGCUUGACCUACACUGGAUCGCUGCACAGAUGUAGUUUCCCUUUGUGGCUGGUGUACAGGUGGUGCAUGGUUGUCGUCGGCUCGUGUCCAGAAAUGAUGCGGCAAGUCCCGCAACCAGCGCAAACCUUGUCUUAUGUUGCCAGCCAUUCGGCCGGGGACCCACGAGAGACUGCCGGGGACAACUCGGAAGAAUGUGGGGAAGACUCCACAUCAUCCUGCCCUCUAUGUCCUGGGCCUUCGCUCCUGCUUCCAAUGACCAGUACACCCUCCACCAACUCCUGUGACCCGGAACCGAAUCCUUCCAAAUCCCGCCUUGGUUCGGGUUGGCCUCGGCCACUUCAGCCCCCUGNCGUCGGCGUCGCUNGUCUUCGCNGUUCNGCNGUGCUGCGGUGNNUNCGUUCCCGGGCCU
rnacentral:rRNA from 1 species